CUAAAGUUCAUCAUGCAACCAGAAAGCAAGCAACACCUGCAAAAAUUCCCUCUUCUGCCCAGCCAUUAAAGCACACUGGCAAAACAAAGUCCCAUGGAGGCCAUCCCAUGAUGCACAGCCAGUUCUGGUGGCCACCCCUGGAAAUCCGUUUUGCCACCAUGCUAUAACAGAGUGAAGACCUUGUUUUGAGGAGUCAGGUAACACUCGACUCCUGAUUCAAGAAAGCGGAGGAAAGCAGGAAGGAAGAAGAUGGGGAAAAGCUGUGGAAUGACUGGCCUUCCCCAAAGAUGAACCUUGCCAGGAGGAAAGCGGGAAAAGAUGGGUCUGUACUCUUCCCAACACUUUCCUCCGCUUCCCUCUCAUAUGUCUGAUGAAGUCCUUAGACAAACUUCAUCAUAGCUUUUCAAGUACUUCUGUCAAAGUGAUUUUUCAAUAAAAGUAACAAGUUAACUAUAG
rnacentral:lncRNA from 11 species